UACAGAGGUCUCAAGCGUUGUCCGGAAUUACUGGGCGUAAAGAGCUCGUAGGCGGCUUGUCACGUCGAUUGUGAAAGCCCGAGGCUUAACCUCGGGUCUGCAGUCGAUACGGGCUAGCUAGAGUGUGGUAGGGGAGAUCGGAAUUCCUGGUGUAGCGGUGAAAUGCGCAGAUAUCAGGAGGAACACCGGUGGCGAAGGCGGAUCUCUGGGCCAUUACUGACGCUGAGGAGCGAAAGCGUGGGGAGCGAACAGG
rnacentral:rRNA from 1 species